rnacentral:lncRNA from 1 species
GCUUAAUUCUAAUGCAUGGUUGCAUUUCAUAUCUGCUUACAUAUUGCUUGCCCUAAAUAAAAUGUAUUUUUUAGGGCUUAAUGAUGCUUCAUAUUUUUUUCAUUUUCUUUGUACUUUUCUUUCUUUUUGUUGUUCAUACUUCAUUUCAAAGAGGACUAAUGACAUCACAGGUUAUGCCUUGACUAGUAUUUGAAUUGGAUUCAAGUGAGACAGAGCUGCACAAAGUCCUCAGCCUCAUUCAGACUCUUCCAGAAUCAUCCAAGUCCAGCAGCAAGACAAAAGCCAGGACAACUGGCAAUGGCCCAGGAUUCAGUGGAUGACAUUGACAUCUUUGAGAUGUCAUCUCCACAGAACCUCCCUCAGUAUUACAGACAUUGCACCCAAUUCUCAUUUGCCCAUUCCAUCAGGGAAGAACUUCACAUGUUUGAGGUGGACUCGGACCAAGUGGCGAUGAGAGCACAAGUUGAAUGUAGCUACAUUAGACAUGCAUUUGCUUUUGGAUUGCUGAAAGUUUUCUUACUUUGCACAAAGAAUUCAAGACUGUAGAUAUGUAUUCUAUUGGUAUCUGAAUUUCAAUAUGCCAAGCUAGAGUAUUUGGACCAAAUCUAUUGAACUACCAUAUGGUCAAAAUUUCCCAUGUUCACUUUAGUUGAUUUCAGAUAAAUAUCUCCUUCACAGGAGCCCUGAACUUUCAUGUUUCACAGCUAUCACGUGUGUAAAAAAAUACAUGUUGCUUGAAUUGUUUAUUAGUAUCCUUAGGAGAAAAAGUGCUACUAGCUAUAAAACUGUGCUUACCUUUAAUGUGUUUUUAUAAAAAAUGUGAACUGCAAGGAGGCUGUUUCAAGUAAGCCUUAUAAAUCACCUGGACUAUACCACUAUUGGCAUGUCUUAGAGUCAUUAUGUAUAAUUGGUUAAUGGUGUAUUUAUUCUCCUAUUAUUGGAUCAGCUCCAGGGGUAAUCACUGAUGAGUUUCAAAACUCCAGGAGGAUUUCUGUGCAGAGGUAAAUGAAUUAAAAAACAAGAUAAAACUAAUUACUUUUAUUUAAAUUCAAUUUUGGGGGUAAUCGUUCUGUCUUGGGGGUCUAGCUGCAGUUUUCAGAAGUGAUAAAUUUGCUUUUCUUUGCUUACUUGAAUUGCCCUAGAGCAGAGAAGAAAAAUCAUUUGCAAUGAGAAACCAAAAUUAAGUCCCCUAAACUAUACUUCUUAUAGCUAGCUAUUAUAAGACAGGGCUUCUUCUCAAGGCCUCUCCUCUCAUGUGGUUUUGGCCCUUAGGAAGCUGAUCAACAAGACAUGGGAACAUUCUGAUAAACCAAUAUCAAAUGAAUAGUCCCAUUAGAGUCUGGAAUUUCCUGGAUCUUAAGAAAUUAUAGAAGCAUCACCUUAAGAACAUUUUAAGUAUAUAUAGAGCAUGGACAAAUAUUUAAAAGGUCUAAAUCUAUUGUUAUUUUUUUCAUUGGUUCACUGGUCACCUAGCUAUACCUAAGCUGUAUCAUAGCUUAUUCUGAUGGUAGAUAGAGUAGAAAGAACACUAGAACUAACAUAAUAG